rnacentral:lncRNA from 10 species
GGAAGCACACUGCGGCGAUUCUGGAGAGGUUGUCCUUUUCUGGCAUCAGCGUUGCGGCUCGAGGCAAAGCUGGUCCUGUGCCUGCUGUCCAUUGCCGCUAAGGCCUGCUGCUGCCAUUCAGGCGUGUCUCUCUCUCUCUCUCUCUUUCAUGCCGCUCUCUCCACCCCAUCUUGGGACGGCCAGCUCUAAGAAUUCCUGCUACGACACUGAAUUCAACCAGGAGGUGAUGCCACACUCAAUCAGAAACUAUGCUACUGCUGAAGAGGUAUAUUGAGCCCUGCCUGGUUAACCUCCAGUGAGGUUAUUAGAGAAUUGGGAGAGGCUCAAAUCAGCAUCCUGCACCUAGUUAUCAAACCAUUGUGAAGUCUUGAUUCCUGGAUGGCCAGAAAACUUGUCAUUGGUCAAGAGCAACAUUAAGAUCUGCCUGUUACUCAUACUGAUGCUUCCUGCCCAGCAAGUUCAUCAGAGGGCGAGGAUGAAUUACGGUUGCCAUGAAUGUCCUUGUGAGGCAGUUGGGAAGCCUUGGCUGGAUUGUGAAGGAUAUUUGAAAAGUAUUUUAGAGUCCACCAGAUCAUCCAUGUGAGUGACCAUGCAGCAAAAGAAGGAGGGUCCUCUCAGUGAUUAAGGAUUAUGAAGUAUUAAUUCUUCCACUGAUAUCUCAAAAGGUGAUCUGGACAAAGGAACAGGUAUCUCAGGAUUCCUCCUUGGUCACUUUUCAGCAGCAGCCUGCUCUUCUUUUGCAAUCUCUUCAGGAUCUCUGUAGAAGUAGAGAUCAGGCAUGAACUCCCACGGGUGUUCACGGGAAAUGGUGCCACGCAUGCGCAGAACUUCCCGAGCCAGCAUCCACCACAUCAAACCCACUGAGUGAGCUCCCUUGUUGUUGCAUGGGAUGGCAAUGUCCACGUAUCACAGAGGAGAAUCUGUGUUACACAGAGCAAUGUAGAGACGGGGUUUCACCGUGUUAGCCAGGAUGGUCUCGAUCUCCUGACCUCAUGAUCCACCCGCCUUGGCCUCCCAAAGUGCUGGGAUUACAGGCGUGAACCACCGCGCCCGGCCAGGAGAGUGUAUUUUCUACACAUAAGUUCAGGUCAUCUCCACACAGACCCAGUUUGCCUCCCUCUUUUCCGAUCUGAAUGCCUUUAAUUUCCUUCUCUUGCCUAACUGUACUGGCUAGAACAUCCCGAACUAGGUUGAAUGAGGUGCUGAGAGUGGGCAUAAUUGGCUUCUUUACCUCCGAAGAAAAUAUUUCAUGUUUUCUUCAUUGAUUAUGAUGUUAGUUGUGGGUAUUUCAUUUACUGCCUAUAUGGUAUAAAGAUACAUUCCUUCUAUGCCUAAUUGGUUGACAGCUUUUAUUAUAUCAAAUUCUAUAAAACUGUUUUAUUUUUAAAUCUAUUGAGAUGAUCAAAUGGCGGUGUCCCUCCUCCUUUAUAAGACUAUUUAAAACAUCCUUGCCUCAGAGGGACAAAUCCCAUUUGAACAUGGCAAGUAAUCCUCUUAAUAUAAAGUGGAAUUAGGUUUGACAGAAAUUACCAGUGAAGCACUAUGGGCAUAUAUUUGAUAGGAGAUUUUUAUUAUGGAUACAAUUUACUUGUUAUUGGUCUCUUCAGAUAUUCUUUCUCAUGACUGGAUUUGCGUACGUUGUAUGAGUACAAAUUUUUUCAUUUAUUCUACGCUGCUCUUUAUUAUAUGCUUCCUUCUGUAAAAUUUGGACUGUUUGUUCUUCCCAUUAUAUUAAUAGUUGCUUCAGGUGUAACAUAAGGUUAUUUUUUAAGUACUUUUCUGGUAUCACAAAUAUUGGUGUUUUGUGUUUCAUCUUUCAUUUGUCAAAAUAUUUUUUAACUUCCAUUUGGAUUUAAUGAUUCACCCAUUCAUUAUUCAAAAGCAUAUUGUUUAAUUUCUAUGUGUUUGUGAACAUUCUAAUGUUCAUUCUACUAAUAGUUCCUAGGUUCAUGCAAUGUGCUUAAAAAUGUGGUAUAAUUUCUGUAUUAUUAAAUGUAAAACUAGUCUUGAUUCGUAACAUAAGGCCUACGCAAAGAUCCAUCUUCUGCAGAGAAGAAUGUAGAUUGUGCCGCUGUUAGACGAAGUAUUCUGUAUACGUCAGUUUGCUUUAUUUGGCAUAAAGUGUAGUGUAAGCCAGAUGUAGUGUAAGUCAGAUCCAGAUGAUCUGCCCAUUGCUGAAACUUCAGUACUUAAGUCCCCUAUUAUUAUUGUAUGGCAAUCUAUCUGUCCACUCAGAAGUUAUUAUAUUUGUUUUAUAUGAUUGAGCACUUCUGUUUUGGGUAUAUAUGUAUUUACAAUUACUAUAACCUCUUGCUGAAUUAACCCCUUUUACCAUUAUGUAAUAAACUUAUUUCCC